GUCUUUGAACGCAAGUUGCGCCCCAAGCCGUUAGGCCGAGGGCACGUCUGCCUGGGUGUCACGCAUCGUCGCCCCCCUCGCACCCGCCUCCCCGAGGCGGAGCGGUCGGGCGGAAACUGGCCUCCCGUGCGCUCCCCGCGGGCGGUUGGCCGAAAUUCGAGUCCUCGGCGACGGUCGCCGCGACGAUCGGUGGUGAAAGCAAAGCCUCGAGCUCCCCGUCGCGCGCCGCCGUCCCCGGGCAAGGGCUCCCGGACCCUGAUGCGCCGAACCGCGCUCGCGCCUGCGACCCCAGGUCAGGCGGGACUACCCGCUGAGUUUAAGCAUAUCAAUAAGCGGAGGAAAAGAAACUUACCAGGAUUCCCCUAGUAACGGCGAGCGAACCGGGAAGAGCCC
rnacentral:rRNA from 1 species